UAGAAUAUUUAAGUGGCAUCACUUUGAAUAUUAAAACUCCGGUGGACAGAGAUGAGCGUGCGUCCUAUUAGGUAGUUGGUAGGGUAACGGCCUACCAAGCCGACGAUAGGUAGCUGAUGUGAGAGCAUGAUCAGCCACACGGGCACUGAGACACGGGCCCGACUCCUACGGGAGGCAGCAGUGAGGAAUAUUGGUCAAUGGACGCAAGUCUGAACCAGCCAUGCCGCGUGAAGGAUGAAGGCGUUCUGCGUUGUAAACUUCUUUUAUCUGGGAAGAAACCUACGAUUUUUAUUGUAGCCGACGGUACCAGAGGAAUAAGCACCGGCUAACUCCGUGCCAGCAGCCGCGGUAAUACGGAGGGUGCAAGCGUUAUCCGGAUUCACUGGGUUUAAAGGGUGUGUAGGCGGAUAUUUAAGUCCGAGGUGAAAUCUCUGAGCUUAACUCAGAAACUGCCUUGGAUACUAUUUACCUUGAAUAUCGUUGAGGUAGGCGGAAUAUGUCAUGUAGCGGUGAAAUGCAUAGAUAUGACAUAGAACACCGAUUGCGAAGGCAGCUUGCUAAACGAUUAUUGACGCUGAGGCACGAAAGCGUGGGGAUCAAACAGGAUUAGAUACCCUGGUAGUCCACGCCCUAAACGAUGAUUACUCGACAUACGCGAUA
rnacentral:rRNA from 1 species